GUUCAGCGUCACUGCGAAACCUGAAUACGGCCUGCAAGCUUCUGACCUACUAAUCCAGCAGUGGACAGCGGCACAAUGACCAGAGGGGAACGGCGCCUCCAAUGAGGGUGAUAGUGAGCUGAAUGUGGAUGUUUCUGAGAAAGUUUAAGGACGCAGGAUAAACCUGGCAUUUGCACUGAAAUGACCAUAGAGCCAGAGGUCAUCUGAGCCACAGAGAGAGGUGGACAGCUGACUGGAUCUACUGAGCAGAUGCUGGGAUCCUCCAUGUCCCCGACAUGACAUCUGGAACAGGGGCCAGAAACCAAGAGCUGGGGUCUCAGAUCGAGACAGAACCCGUUGAUUUGCCAGUAGAUUCCAUAGCUGUGCUCUCUCUUCCUCCUUCACCUGAAUUUGUCAAGCUGACUGGAGCAUCUACUCCAGCACGAGAGAUGGAUGCGGAACCUGCUGGCUCCAUCCCUCAGGAAGAGACAGAACCAUCUGAAGACCUAGCACAGGGUUUCACCGAGCUCCUGCAGGAAUCCACCGAGCAGCUGCGUGGCUUCCUCUGGAAGGUGCCAAAGAUUUCGACCCGGCUGCGGUUUUCUAAACUCCAGAUGACAAAGUCCAAACAACAGCAACAGAAGUCCAUUGCCGAGCUCAUGAAGUCUUUUUAUUGGCUGCAGGAAUCCACAGACCAGGGAGUAUCCAGAGAGCUCCAGGAGUUCAGAGAGCUUCACGAGUCCAAUGAACAUCUACAAAGCAGGGUUCCUGGGAAGUCACUGAUGGAGCAGGGAAAUACAAAGCUUCUGCUGUCCAAAGAGCAGUGCCUCUCGAGAGAUCUGCAGGCUUCUGCAGAGCUUCACGAAUGUCACCUGACCCCGGUUCUCAAACUGCCGCUAAACUCUGUGGGGUUUUCCAAUGAACAGGAUUGUGCCAAAGAGAUGUGUGGCAAGAUGGCCAUUUCCAUGAAUGAUCUGGACUCCAGAGAGCUGGAGGAAUUGGAAGGCUUUCCUGGCUCUGGAGAGUUGCUGGAGACCAGAGAACCACAAGGGUUCAUGAGUUCACAAGAAGCGGCUGAGGUUCAAGAAUCUGUUGCCCCACAGAAUGCCGUCGAUUGUCCCUGUUUCGGUGAAGCUGAGGAAGUGAGGGAGCCAUCAGGUUUGGAAAUCGGAAUGAUGCCCAAGUCCCCACAAUCCCAAAGAUCCGUCAAGCCACUGCAGGCGUCCCUGAAGCUAAUGCAGGACUCAAUGGACAAGGUGAACAGGCAAGUUUGUGCAGUCCAGUUCAGAGACUAUCAACACAAGACCGUGGUGUCUCAAAUGAACGAGGACUUUCAGAUUGUUGUACAGACAUUCACUCUCUGCGUCCUUCAGAGGAACAGACUGGAAACUGUUGAGCGAUCCACUCUGGACCUGCAACUUCAGCUGCGGGAGUCCAUGAAGCAGCUGCAGAACUCAUUGAAGCAGAUCAAGGAGUCCACUGCUGUGUUUGACAAUUCCAUCCUGCAGCUGUCCAGCGUGCGGAAGCAGCUCCAGCAUUCAACCAAACAGCUCCAGAAAUAUGCCCUACAGCUGCAGAAGCUCAAGAUGGAAGUGCAGGAAGGGUCGGUAAAGCUACAGUCCAAGUCUCGCAGCAUUCAAGACAGAUUCCUGUCCCUGUUUCGUUGGUUGACGUGCAGGUGGUGGUGUUAACAGUCCUAUUGAGUCGGGCUUCAUCAGUCAUGUGAUUAUUUGGAGAUGUACCAGGGCCUUUGUAUGCUGGACUUUUUGAGGUGUGAGUCACCUUGCCUUGACCUUCCUUCCCUCCAUCCUCUUCUUUCCUCUCCUUCCUUGGGACAUGAGCAAGUGUCCUUACCUUCCACUGUCUCUCUGCUGUGUCUAUGCUCAAGUUGUUUGUGUUCUGAAUGGGAACUUGAGCGACAUCAGCAGCCGGUGAAAGAGAAGUCAAAACACCUGACAACGUCUCAACUACCCCCUGGCCACUGGGCCAAGAGACAGUAUUGUUUGACCUCAUAAAUGGAUAGUUUUGUUACUCCAGUUUCCUCCCUAUGAAGUGGACCAAAAGCUCCUGAGCAAAGGCGACUGAGAUGAUAUUAUCAUUGCUCCACUAUACAUCAGAUCACAUGUGCAAGGAGAUGUGGACUGGCUCGCAUUCUACCAACGUUUACCAGAUGUGUGAAAACAGCGACAGAGUUCUAGUCCGAGAAUCGAUCUGUGGCAGUCCAACCCUGUCCAUAGAACUCAAGCCCUAAAUGUUUCAUCCUGGUCCCACCAGAGAGAGCGAGAGUCCAUCCAGCUUUCAUGUCCUAGGAUCUUCAACUGCACCAGGAUGUUGGACACCACCUCAGGUCCCUGCUUGAUGUCCAACUGGGGGCAAGCAGGUGAGUUUGGUUGUUGUUUCUUAAUAAACUGAAUGCAGAGAGACACAUUAAUGAGCAAAUGAAGCAAUGAUGAACAUAGUAGGCACCAGGGUGGCGCCUCCCACAUCUGUGACCAGAUCAAUGACUCUCUGAUGGGGCCACUCAUGCAAGGAAACACGGGUCAUAAUGUUGAAGCACUCAACAAUUGGACCACUUAGCUCUGUAGCCACUGGAAUAAGGUCCAGGGUUGGCGGUCCUGUGUGAGUAGACACCAGAAUAUGUGCACAACGGCAAUAAAAUCGACAGUCUUACAUAACAGAUAGCAAAACCGAUGUAAAAUAAAAACAUUCAAGGCAAUAAGGAUGUCAUUCCGCGCAGUAGAAAACCAGUAACAGUAUUUAAAUGUCAAACCCUGCAGACCUUGAGUCAGCAGACGUGGUUUUGUCUCAGGUGGAAUUCAUCUAAGCAGUUUCACAGCAACGCAGCACGACUGGCCCGGGGCAGUUCCUCCUGCAGGUUGUCGUAGCUGCAGGCCUCCGAAGCGAUACCUCUUUAUGUGGAGUCAAUAUUUCCACUCCCAUGGUGACGAGUCAGGACAACAAAGUUCUCGCUUCGGUGCUUUGACUAAUUCAACAGCUGCCAGCUUUCCCAGCUCUUGACUCAGUCUUCAAACACCCCUGGACGAGGAGCCGAUCACAACAGUUGCAAGUCUCUGUGCAGCUAAUGUAUUUCUGUGCAUCACCAUGACACCUCAGAAACUCGAAGUCACAAAGCUGCAGAUGACAGUGAAGUGAAAAUGAAAUUGAAGUCGGAGAUGAAGUUUCAGGAGGGGGCAGGUUUUCAUCAUGAUAAUGAUUCAUAAUCCAUAUUUCUCGGUUUAUUUUAAACAGUUUUGUGUGUUACAGCUUGGGUGGACCCUGGAGUGCACCUCUUCAACAGCCUGCUUAGAGGGUUGCACACAUUCAUGCGUUCAUUCCAUUCUUGGUAAUUCAACUAUUGUCAUGAAGAAUCCUUAAGUGCUGACACACAGCCUCCAGGUCGUGUUGGAGUUGUUUGUUGUUCCGCUGACUGUGUGCUAAUGAGCAAACAGCUGCAAGGUUCAGAGUGAGGAUAAAACGGCGCAUCUCCACUCAGGCCCACAACUCCACUGCAGAGACCAUGACUUCCAAAUCCUUUGUGAUCGCUGCUCUGGCAGUUGGUUGUCUGCUGAUUCAUGUAUCAGCAGCCGCCACGGUGUCAGUGCCCGCUACUGCACCCACGUCUGAGUUGACCAACAGCCUGAACCUUACGGAUCAGCAAUGGAAGCAGAUCUUUGCAGAGGCGCAGAGCGGGAACACGACCGAGCUCACGACUCUGUUGGAUACCAUUUAUUUUAAGAUUGACGAGGCGUUUGAGCUGGCUGAGGACCACCUUGAGACAUAUUUGGAGACAGCUGCGACUAAUCUGACCAAUCUGGUCACUGAGAAGCAGACACUGACGGAACAGCAUCUGCUCAACACCAACAGAACAACACCCCUGACGUUGGAUGAGGUGAAGAAGGUGGUGUCAGAUAACAUUGGGCCUGUCAACGAUAAAGUCAAUUCCCAAACCAGCGCCUUGACGACCUUAGACCUCUCGUCGCUGUAAUCUAAAAUUGGACUUGGCAACCGAUGGACCUACUCCGAGAUGUCUUUUCGGUGAGGGUUUCUUCUGCAGCUGUUCCUUCCGGAUGUGAAGACGUCUCCAGUGUCUCCAGGCUGGACUGUGUCUCUCUACUUUGUUCUGACUUCCUCUGAUCAUUAAACUC